GACAGAGGGGGCGAGAGUUGUUCGGAAUUACUGGGCUUAAAGGGCGAGUAGGCGGUGGAGCAAGUCUGAGGUGGAAUCCUACGGCUUAACCGUAGAACUGACUUGGAAACUGUUUUACUUGAGUCAGUGAGGGGAGGGCGGAAUUCCUGGUGUAGCGGUGAAAUGCGUAGAUAUCAGGAGGAAGGCCUGUGGCGAAAGUGGCCCUCUGGCACUGUACUGACGCUGAGGCGCGAAAGCGUGGGGAGCAAACAGG
rnacentral:rRNA from 1 species